UAGGCCUCCUAUUUCCCCUGCUUUGGGAGCAGGGGGUCGUGGGUUCGAAUCCCGUCGCCCCG
rnacentral:tRNA from 1 species